GACGCCAGUCUGCGUGGAGCCGACCUUGAAAUACCACCCUUUAAUGUUUGAUGUUCUAACGUGGACCCGUAAUCCGGGUUGCGGACAGUGUCUGGUGGGUAGUUUGACUGGGGCGGUCUCCUCCUAAAGAGUAACGGAGGAGCACGAAGGUUGGCUAAUCCUGGUCGGACAUCAGGAGGUUAGUGCAAUGGCAUAAGCCAGCUUGACUGCGAGCGUGACGGCGCGAGCAGGUGCGAAAGCAGGUCAUAGUGAUCCGGUGGUUCUGAAUGGAAGGGCCAUCGCUCAACGGAUAAAAGGUACUCCGGGGAUAACAGGCUGAUACCGCCCAAGAGUUCAUAUCGACGGCGGUGUUUGGCACCUCGAUGUCGGCUCAUCACAUCCUGGGGCUGAAGUAGGUCCCAAGGGUAUGGCUGUUCGCCAUUUAAAGUGGUACGCGAGCUGGGUUUAGAACGUCGUGAGACAGUUCGGUCCCUAUCUGCCGUGGGCGCUGGAGAACUGAGGGGGGCUGCUCCUAGUACGAGAGGACCGGAGUGGACGCAUCACUGGUGUUCGGGUUGUCAUGCCAAUGGCACUGCCCGGUAGCUAAAUGCGGAAGAGAUAAGUGCUGAAAGCAUCUAAGCACGAAACUUGCCCCGA
rnacentral:rRNA from 1 species